CAGAAAUACUCGGCGUAGGUACUGUGGCUGCUCAUCGUUUUGCGGUUCAACUCAGGACACUUCGGCAUUUUCUAUGUCGGAGUGCAUAAUUUGGCUCUCUUAUUGUUUUGUACAUUAUUUCCAUCCCUUGUCUUUUUGUCUAGGCUGACACCCUUGCUUACAAAAUCAGGGUCAAUUUUUUCCAGGAAUCCCUAACCCGCUUCGUACUGUUACAGUACCCUGGAUGUGACAGGAAAAAUUUUCAAUGAUUUUGUACUUUCAUGUUAUAGUUUUUUCAGAGAUUUGCCGAACUGACAUUUUGGUUAAAGAUUGUAAGCACAGAAGGGAUCAGACUCUCAAGUACUAAUAGCAGAGAUGUACCUCACCUGGCACAAUAAUUGAUGUAAUGCAAUGUUGAUGUUUCUGUAUCCUGUCCUGUACUCCUGCGUGUACAACUGAAAAAGAAAA